UCGAGCGAACAGACGAGGAGCUUGCUCCUCUGACGUUAGCGGCGGACGGGUGAGUAACACGUGGAUAACCUACCUAUAAGACUGGGAUAACUUCGGGAAACCGGAGCUAAUACCGGAUAAUAUAUUGAACCGCAUGGUUCAAUAGUGAGAGACGGUUUUGCUGUCACUUAUAGAUGGAUCCGCGCCGCAUUAGCUAGUUGGUAAGGUAACGGCUUACCAAGGCGACGAUGCGUAGCCGACCUGAGAGGGUGAUCGGCCACACUGGAACUGAGACACGGUCCAGACUCCUACGGGAGGCAGCAGUAGGGAAUCUUCCGCAAUGGGCGAAAGCCUGACGGAGCAACGCCGCGUGAGUGAUGAAGGUCUUCGGAUCGUAAAACUCUGUUAUUAGGGAAGAACAAAUGUGUAAGUAACUAUGCACGUCUUGACGGUACCUAAUCAGAAAGCCACGGCUAACUACGUGCCAGCAGCCGCGGUAAUACGUAGGUGGCAAGCGUUAUCCGGAAUUAUUGGGCGUAAAGCGCGCGUAGGCGGUUUUUUAAGUCUGAUGUGAAAGCCCACGGCUCAACCGUGGAGGGUCAUUGGAAACUGGAAAACUUGAGUGCAGAAGAGGAAAGUGGAAUUCCAUGUGUAGCGGUGAAAUGCGCAGAGAUAUGGAGGAACACCAGUGGCGAAGGCGACUUUCUGGUCUGUAACUGACGCUGAUGUGCGAAAGCGUGGGGAUCAAGCAG
rnacentral:rRNA from 1 species